CAAUCACCCAGGAGACUCUGCAGGGGGACUGCUUUCAGCUGCUCUGGUGGAUCCCACAGAUAAACUGAUGAAGCUGAAUGUGGAUCAUGGUGGAGAGUUCAGGCUGAAAUCAGGGCUGAUGAAAUAUGCCUGUCAUCUCACCCUGGACCCAAAUACAGCAAACCCAAACCUGAUA